CACCGCCCAUUGCUUCUACCGAUUGAAUGGUUUGAUGAAGAGUUCGGAUUGUGGCGAUGCUUUGUGGUUCGCUGUCGGCAACAUUGUGAGAAGUCCAUUGAACCUUAUCAUUUAGAGGAAGGAGAAGUCGUAACAAGGUUUCCGUAGCUGAACCUGCACAAG
rfam:Lupinus angustifolius cultivar Tanjil chromosome LG20, whole genome shotgun sequence.